GCAGUUUGAUCUCAGACUGCUGUGCUAGCAAUCAGCGAGACUCCGUGGGCGUAGGACCCUCGGCGCCAGGUGCAGGAUAUAAUCUCGUGGUGCGCCGUUUUUUAAGCCCGUCGGAAAAGCGCAGUAUUUGGGUGGGAGUGACCCGAUUUUCCAGGUGCCGUCUGUCACCCCUUUCUUUGACUAGGAAAGGGAACUCUCUGAACCCUUGCACUUCCUGAGUGAGGCAAUGCCUCGCCCUGCUUCAGCUCGCGCACGGUGCACGCACCCACUGACCUGCGCCCACUGUCUGGCACACCCUAGUGAGAUGAACCGGGUACCUCAGAUGGAAAUGCAGAAAUCACCCGUCUUCUGCAUCUCUCACGCUGAGAGCUGUAGACCGCAGCUGUUCCUAUUCGGCCAUCUUGGUUCCUCCUGACUUCAUUUCUUCUUUGCCUUCUUCCAUGAUUGUGAGGCGUCUCCAGCCAUGUGGAACUUUUUGAUAGCAGCAGGGGCCCAUCUGGAGCAGCAACUUCCAUGAUGCCAGCUGCAACAGAGGAGGCACAGCUGGGGCUGAGCACUACAUGGAGCUGGUGACAAGAAGAAGAGAAGAAAGAAGGAGAGAAGAGCUGCAACUGUUCAGGGAACCCAGACUUAGGAGCUCUCUGAGCCAAGGCUGUAACACCUCUUUGGGGUUCUGAGGUUUCUGGCAUCUUCAAGCAACUAUAUUCCCCAGUGCCAGCCAUGGAAGCUGCUUGUGGUAUGCCUGGUCCAGCUGCAGCCUUACAGAGAGCCAGCACCUGCCCCAUCACAGCCAGAGUGCCUGGCUGUGUGCAGUGGCCAGACCCCACGUUUUCUCACUCACACACCACUCACUGCUCUGCUCACCCUUGGCAGGGUUGGGAUCCAGGCCAAUAGUGUAAGCCAAGUGCAACCUGCCAGGCCAAGUGGGCCCGGAGGGCCUGAGCAAAACUCAGGCAAAGGCACCACUGGCCACAGAGGUUUCUGACUGGUGAAACGACACCCCAAGGAUCCCGUAACAAUUUUGCCACAUAUGUAUACACCCUCUAAAAAUAUUGCUUAGUGUUUUAUAUAUUUACCCUGUUUUCUUUUUGAUAGAAUUUGGUAAUUUUCAUAUUUUUAUAACUUUGAGUAAUUUUCAUAUUUUUAUAACAACGAUUUUAUGUACGUGGACUGGAUGCAGCAGCUCACGCCUGUAAUCCUAGCACUUCAGGAGGCCAAGGCAGGAGGAUCACUUGAAGCCAGGAAUUCAAGCCAGCCUAAGCAACAUAACUGGAGCCCAUCUCUACAACAAAAAAUUUCAAAAUCAGCCAGCCCUGAUGGCAAGUGCUUGUAUUCCCAGCUCCUCAAGAGGUUGAGGUGGGAGGAUUGCUUAAGCCUAAAACUUUGAGGUUGUAGUGAGGCAUGCUAGCACCAGUGCACUCCAACCUAGGCAACAGAACAAGAUCCUGUCUCUUACAAAAAAUAAAAAAAUGUGUACAUGAUUCCCAUGUAUAUGUGAAAACAUUUAUCUAGGAAUGGAGAUGCUCCCAGACUAUGCACAUUUUAAACUCCUAGAAAAUGCCCCAAAACUAUCUUCCAAAUGAUGCAUUUAUUCUCUCCCUCGCAGUCUAUAAAAGUUGUCAUUGCAUCACAUUCUCACUAACCAUUGAUACUGUCAGAUAUUUUAAAAUGUUUGCCAUUCUGGAUAUAAAAUGACACCUCAACUGGAUUUCCGGAUUGCUAAUGAGGUGAGCAUCUUUUCCAUUGUUGGUUGAUCUUCUGGGAGUUUCUUUUACGAAGUGGCUAUUCCAGUCUUUCCUCUUUUCUCUACUUGCCUAUUUGCCUCUUUAAAAGUCAAUUUGUAGAAAUUCUUUAUGCAUUUUGAGCACUAAUCCUUUGGCAAAUAGAGAUAUUGCAGAUACUGUCAACCAUUUUGUAGUUUGUCUUUUCACUUUCUGUUUGCUGUUUUUCAUAGUAAAAUUCUCAGUUUUAAUAUUGUUGAAUUUAUAAAUAUUUUACUUUUUAGUCUGUGUUCUAUAUGUCAUAUUUAUGAAAUAAUUUCCUGAGUCAAAGGUACAAAGAUAUUCACUAAUACUGUCUCCUCCUUCUUCUUCUUCUCCUUCUCCUUCGCCUUCCCAUUCUCCUUCCCCUUCCCCUUCUCCUUUGUCUUCUUCUUUUUUUUUCAAAUAAGGUCUUGCUCUGUCAUCCAGGCUGGAAUGCAAUAGUGUGAUCUUGGCUCACUGCAACCUCCAUCUCCCAGGCUCAAGUGAUCCUUCUGAUUCAGUCUCCUGAGUAGCUGGGAUUACAGGAAUACACCACUGCACCCAGCUAGUUUUUGUAUUUUUUGUAGAGAUAGGGUUACCAUGUCAGCCAGGCUGAUCUCACUUGAACUCCUGGGCUCACGUGAUCCUUCUGCUUUAGUCUCCCAAAGUGCUGGGAUUACAAGUGUUAGCCACCAUGCCUGACCCACUAAUACUGUCUUCUAAAAGUCUUGAAGGUUUAUCAUUUACAUAUGUUCAGAAUCCAUCUAGAAUUUAUUUAUGGCAUAAGUUAGGGAGUCUACUUAGUUUUUGUUGUCAUAUGAAUAACCAACUGGACUUGUUUCAUGUAUUGAACGCUUUCCCCAGCUAUCUGUUAUUUAACCUUUGUUACAUGUAAAGUUCCCAUAUAUGCAUGAGUUAGUCCGUUGAAGUCUCUGUUCUGUGCCAUUGGUCGGCUUGUUUAUCCUUGCACUAUAUCAUACUUUUAAAAUUACAAUUGCUUUAUUAUAAGUCAUGAUAACUAUUAGUUCUUCUUGAGUACUGUCUUGACUGUAUUUGCCAUUUUGCUUUUCCAUACAUACUUUUUAAAACCAACUUGGAAUUUUAAUCAAAUUUAAGUUAAAUAUCUUGAUUAUUUGGGGGGAAUUGAUAUCUUCCUAAUAUUGAGUGUUCCUACCCAUAAAUAUGCUUUGUCUCUCUGUUAACUUUUUAAAAACUGUCUUAUAUUAAAGCUUAUAAUUUUCUCAAUAAUAGUCUUGUAUAUAUUUUGUUAGAUUUAUUCCUAGGUAACUAUAUAUUAUUGACAAUAAUGUCUUCUUUAAAUUUUUAUUCUCCUAUUCAACUAAUAACCAGAUCAAAUUGCAGCUAGAUAGGAGGAAUAAGUUUUAGUGUUUAAUAUCAUUGUAGGAUGACUAUAGUUAGCAAUAUUAUAUUAUAUUAUAUUAUAUUAUAUUAUAUUAUAUUAUAUUAUAUUAUAUUAUAUUUCAAUAGCCAGAAGGAAAAUAUUGAAUGUUCCCAAUACAAAAAAAAAAAAUAAAUGUUUGAGAUGAU
rnacentral:lncRNA from 1 species